UGGGUAAUAUUGGACAAUGGGCGAAAGCCUGAUCCAGCCAUGCCGCGUGUGUGAAGAAGGUCUUCGGAUUGUAAAGCACUUUAAGUUGGGAGGAAGGGCAGUAAGCGAAUACCUUGCUGUUUUGACGUUACCGACAGAAUAAGCACCGGCUAACUCUGUGCCAGCAGCCGCGGUAAUACAGAGGGUGCAAGCGUUAAUCGGAAUUACUGGGCGUAAAGCGCGCGUAGGUGGUUCGUUAAGUUGAAUGUGAAAGCCCCGGGCUCAACCUGGGAACUGCAUCCAAAACUGGCGGGCUAGAGUAGGGCAGAGGGUGGUGGAAUUUCCUGUGUAGCGGUGAAAUGCGUAGAUAUAGGAAGGAACACCAGUGGCGAAGGCGACCACCUGUGCUCAUACUGACACUGAGGUGCGAAAGCGUGGGGAGCAAACAGG
rnacentral:rRNA from 1 species